rnacentral:rRNA from 1 species
CUUUCAACAACGGAUCUCUUGGUUCUGGCAUCGAUGAAGAACGCAGCGAAAUGCGAUAAGUAAUGUGAAUUGCAGAAUUCAGUGAAUCAUCGAAUCUUUGAACGCACAUUGCGCCCCUCGGCAUUCCGGGGGG